CUGAUGGCGACCGGCGCACGGGUGAGUAACACGUAUCCAACCUGCCGAUAACUCGGGGAUAGCCUUUCGAAAGAAAGAUUAAUACCCGAUGGUAUAAUAAAGCCGCAUGGUUUAAUUAUUAAAGAAUUUCGGUUAUCGAUGGGGAUGCGUUCCAUUAGGCAGUUGGUGAGGUAACGGCUCACCAAACCUUCGAUGGAUGGGGGUUCUGAGAGGAAGGUCCCCCACAUUGGAACUGAGACACGGUCCAA
rnacentral:rRNA from 1 species